rnacentral:lncRNA from 1 species
AGAAGGUGGCACCACCCUGAGUUGCUGGCAGUGAGUCUGUUCCAAGUUCCAGUGAGGGAGGCAUCCGCCCACUUGGGGCUUCUGUCCAAGGUAAGGAGCACCUGUGAGUCUAACUGCCAGACUCUGAUGGGGGUCUCGUCUCUGUGGGACUAGAAAGUGUCCCAACAAUCUGACCAAGGUAACAGGAAGUUAAGACAAAGACAGAGAUCAGAGUCAAAAUCAGAGCUGUGCUGUGAGACAGAUAGAUAAGAGAAAUAAAAUGCUGGUCACAAAAGUCAGGAAAAUUAAAAAACUUAGAUAGUACCUGGCAACAAAAGAAAGCUUUUGGCUAAAGAUCAACGUGUAUACUGUAAAGAAAAUGAGCACUGGGUGAGAGACUGCCCCAACAAAAAGAAGAGGAGCCCCCCUCAUGACCAAACCCUUCACCUGUUCGUGGCUAAAAGUAAAGAGAUAACAAAAGGGGUGCUAACACAGAAGCUGAGUCCUUAAAAGAGUCCGGUGGCCUACCUGUUAAAGCAGCUAGAAAAAGAGACUGUGUUUCAUACUCCUCCACCGACCAGUGCAAAACAAGCUAAAAAGUUCCUGGGCACUGCGGGCUUUUGCAGAUUGUGGAUUCCAGGUUUUGCUGAGUUAAAGAGAUAAACAGCCCUUCGUAUAGAGAAAAAGGAACAAUCUUAGAUGGCCUUGGAUGCUCUUGAGACUGCCCUAAUGUUAUCCCCAGCUAUGGGACUCCUAGAUGUGACUGAGAACAAAGGUAUUGCCAAAAAAGUUCUUACUCAGAGAUUGGGACCCUGAAAAAGACCUGUGGCAUACUUGUAAGAAAUUAGACCUGGUGGCUGUAAGAUGGCCUGCUUGUCUGCACAUAGUGGCUUCUGGUCAAGGACGCAGAUAAAUUGACUCUGAGACAAAACUUGGCACAUGUCCUAGAAAGUGUGGUUCAGCCCCCAUGACCAAUGGCUGACUAACGCUCUUGAAAGCAUUAUCCAACCGUCCCCCUGACCGAUGGACACAUUAUCAGAGCUUUUUGUUGACUGAACGAGUGACCUUCGCUCCCCCUGCUAUCCUCAAUCUCACUACUGCCUGAGACUUCACCUACUCAUCAUUGUGCUGACAUUCUGGCAGAAGGAACUCAUACUCGAAAUGAUCUGAAGGAUCAGAUCAGCCUUGGCCUGAGAGUUCGAGCUGGUACACGGAUGGCAGUAGCCUGAAGGUUAAAGGUAAGCGGAAGGCGGGGACAGCAGUGCAGUGAUGGACAGAAAGCAAGUGAUCUAGGCCAGCAGCCUCCCUAAAGGGACUUCAGCCCAGAAAGCUAAACUUGUGGCUUUAAUACAAGCUCUAUAAAUGGUAAAAAAAAAAAAAAGUCUACACGGACAGCAGGUAUGCUCUUGCCACUGUACAGAGCAAUAUACAGACAAAGAGAGCUGUUGACAUCUGCAGAAAAAGACCUAAGAUGCUGUGGCUAAAAGAAAUCAGAUGGCAAAUCUAACCGCCCAGGCAUCCUAAAGAGCAAUGAUCCUGACAGUCUGAAGACUA